GAUGAACGCUAGCUACAGGCUUAACACAUGCAAGUCGAGGGGCAGCAUUUUUAUAGCAAUAUAAAAGAUGGCGACCGGCGCACGGGUGAGUAACACGUAUCCAACCUGCCGAUAACUCGGGGAUAACCCUUCGAAAGAGGGCCUAAUACCCGAUGGCAUAUCCCUUCCGCCUGGUUGGGAUAUUAAAGAACUUCGGUUAUCGAUGGUGAUGCGUUCCAUUAGCUUGUGGCGGGGUAACCGCCCACCGAAGGCUUCGAUGGAUAGGGGUUCUGAGAGG
rnacentral:rRNA from 1 species